GGUUUCCUCCGGGUGCUCCGGUUUCCCCCACAGUCCAAAGACAUGCAGGUUAGGUUAACUGGUGACUCUAAAUUGACCGUAGGUGUGAAUGUGACUGUGAAUGGUUGUCUGUGUCUAUGUGUCAGCCCUGUGAUGACCUGGCGACUUGUCCAGGGUGAACCCCGCCUUUCACCCGUAGUCAGCUGGGAUAGGCUCCAGCUUGCCUGCGACCCUGUAGAAGGAUAAAGCGGCUAGAGAUAAUGAGAUGGGAUGAGAUGAUUGGGGACCAGAACAUGAUAAUAGUCUGUGUGUAUGAGUGUGUCCCCAAGGGACAGAGUUGUGCUGAAAAGCAGAAAUAAAGAAAACUCAGAAGCAAAUAACAGCCUGCCGUACUUCUGUGCUCCACCCAUAUCUGGAGCAUUUCUACAGUGGUGCCAAAACCCAGGAGUGCAGAAGGGAACAGCCCUAUGGAAUCCUCACCAUUUAAUGAUCUUAUCCAUGCCCUCGCCACAGCACAGCAGAACCAGCAUGAAGCGCUGAUCGCCCUCCAAAAGGAGCAGGAACAAUGGUUUGAAGCCUUGGUGCUGGCCCAACAAGAAGACCGCCAGGUGUUCUGGCACCUGCUUACGUCAGCUGGGUCCACAACUGCCACCGGAGCGGGCCCUCCCCACCUCACCCUAACAAAGAUGGGUCCACAUGACGAUCCAGAAGCCUUUCUCACGCUCUUUGAGCAAGCAGCGGAGGCGUGGGGUUGGCUGGUCGAACAGCGCGCAGCACACCUCCUCCCCCUGCUGACGGGCAAGGAGCAGCUUGCUGCGCUGCAGCUCCCUGCCGACAGCCGGCUCGUGUACGCGGACCUCCGAAGAGCCAUCCUCCAGUGUGUUGGCCGCUCCCCAGAGCAACAGCGGCAGCGCUUCUGCUUGCUGCACUUGUAGGAGGUCGGCCGACUGUUUGCGUUUGGGCAACAACUCUGGAAUGCCUGCCGGCGGUGGCUGAGGGCAGAAGACCAUGAUGGGAAUUAUUGACCUGGUGACACUGGAACAAUUCAUCGCGUGACUUCUGGAAGGAACGGCCGAGUGGGUCCAAUGUCAUCACCUGGCGUCGCUGGAUCAAGCUAUCGAGCUGGCAGAGGACCACAUGGCGGCAAUUCUGACGUCAGGAAGACGUGUUUCUCCUCCUCUUUCCUCUCUAUCUCCCUCUUCCUCUGCUUCCCGUCCUUGCCCCAUUCCCCCACUGCGGAGGCGAGGGCCAGCUCCCCCCCAGCCAGCCUGGCGCACCUGUGGUGUCCUCCCAUUUUCCCCUUCCUUGUCUGUGUUUUCUCCCCCACAGGUGAGUGAUGUCCAUAAUACCAGUGCAGAGGGAGAGCCUGGGCAGGUGUGCUGGUGCUGCGGGGAGCUGGGACAUCUCCAAAAUCAGUGCUCCAUGAUGGAGGUGGGCGCAGUGGUCCAGGUCCCCAACGUGCCAGAAACUGCCCUCGAUCGGGCUGGAGUGUAUCGUAUACUGGUAAGUGUCCAAGGGGAUACAUACCAGGCUUUGGUGAAUUCCGUCUGUAACCAAACCUCAAUCCACCAAAGCCUGGUGCAAGGUGAGGCAUUGGGGAGAGCACGAGUGGUGAAGGUGUUGUGUGUACAUGGGGAUGUUCACAACUACCCUUUAGUGCCUUUCCACAUUCUAUUUCGGGGUGAAAAGCAUAGUGUAAAGGCAGCGGUUAACCCUUGUCUCACCCACUCACUGAUUUUGGGGACCGAUUGGCUGGGAUUUAAGGAGUUAAUGACACACAUAGUAAGGAGUGGGUCCUGCAGUAAUCCAUUUGGGGAAGACCCCAGACUAGCAUUGGUGGGAGAAGCUGUCACAGAGCCGUCUAUGUCAGCACCGCGUCAGGGCGAUACGCGGAGUGAGGAGCACCCUGCCCCUCCUCCCUCUUUCGGGGAUUCCCUUGGGGAUUUCCCGUUAGAGCAGUCAUGAGACGGGACUCUGCGGCAUGCAUUUGACCAAGUGAGAGUAAUUGAUAGUCAAAUUCUCCAGACCUCUUUUGAAAUUAUUGGGAUGGAUCUCGUUGGGCCAUUAGAUCAGUCAGCAUGGGGAUUUCACUUUAUUUUAGUUCUGGUGGACUAUGCAAUGCGAUAUCUGGAAUCAGUGCCUCUCCACAAUAUCUCAGCAUGCAGUAUUGUGGAAGCGCUCUUCUGCUUUAUCUCCUGGGUCGGGAUUCUGAAAGAAAUCCUGACAGACCAAGGCACUACCUUUAUGUCACAUACACUGUGCGAACUGUAUGGGUUACUGAGGAUUAAGCCUAUCUGCACCAGUAGCUAUCACCCACAAACUGAUGGCUUAGUGGUACAUUUUAAUUGAACUCUCAAAAACAUAAUUCAGAAGUUUGUAAGCAAAGAUGCACGUAAUUGGGAUAAGUGGCUCGAGCCCCUGUUAUUUGCAGUACGAGAGGUCCCGCAAGCCUCCACAGGUUUUUCACCAUUUUAAUUAUUAUAUGGGCAUAAGCCGCGUGGCAUUUUGGAUGUGCUACAUGAAAAUUGGGAGGAGGGACCUUCAUCUAGUAAGAACGAAAUUCAGUACAUUCUCGACCUGCACGCCAAACUCCACACACUCACACACUUAACCCAGGAGAAUUUGCGGCAGGCGCAAGCACGUCAAAUCCGACUGUAUGACAGGGGCAUGUGCCUUAGAGAGUUCACACUGGGAGACAAAGUACUCGAAUUAUUGCCCACAUUGAGCUCCAAAUUGAUCGUCAAGUGGCAAGGGCCCUUCGAGGUCACACGGCGUGUCGGAGACAUCGACUAUGAGGUGAGGCGAACAGACAGGGGUGGGGCAUUGCAAAUUUACCACCUCAAUCUGUUAAAAUUCCCGGAGAAGGCGGAGCUGGAGGCUGGAGGUUCAAAAAAGAAAAUUGACAUCGCCAACCACUCCGUUCCCUUGUGGAGACCACCUCUCCCCGGCCCAACUCACGGAGGUAGCCCAGUUGCAGAAGGAAUUUUCCAAUGUGUUUUCGCCCCUGCCUGGCUGCACCCACCUCAUAGAACACCACAUUGAGACACCCCCGGGGGUGGUAGUGUGCAGCCACCCUUACCGCCUCCCCAAACACACAAAAAAGAUGGUCCGGGAUGAACUCGAGGCCAUGCUUAAAAUGGGCAUAAUCGAGGAGUCCCACAGUGACUGGAGCAGCCAAGUGGUCCUGGUCCCCAAGACCGAUGGGUCGGUCCGGUUCUGCACAGACAGGGAGAAGUAUGCUUUCAAGCCGGCCGAAGAGAACAUCCUUGUCAAGUGGUUCCAGGAGAGGAAGGAGUUUUAUGACAAGUCGGAUAGCAAGUUCUACACCAAGGCCUCCAAGAGGCGGAAGCUGUAGCCAUUGGCCAAGAGGCUUGGCUGUGAUGUGGGCAAGAUUGAGGGUUUGUUCAGAAAUCAGAAAACAGCUGUUGGCAAGCUGAUGAACUGCACAAAGAGUGGCUCAGCGACCCAGAACAGGACACCCAGACAAGAGUGGCAGCUGAAGUCAUUCACUUUUAUGCAGGAUCAUAUCACACCCAGGACACACACCACAGAGUCAACAGAGCUUGGGAAAGCCUCUUCAUCACAGGAUGUACACAGCGAGUCUGGGAGUGGCAACAAAGAGUGUCCACAGUCCCCUGCCAGUCCAAGUGUGGCUACAAGAGGCAGCAGGCUGGGCAAGUGGGCAAAGACGAGCCACCUAGAGGAUGUGAUGCUGAAGUACUUUGAGCAGCCACAGCCCAGUCAGGGCAUCUCAAUCAGUUACAGACUCUUUUCAGACCAAUGGAUACCAGGGAGGCUUUCGGGCCGUACAUGGCCCAGUUCAUGCGCAAGAUCCCCGACAGAAGGUGGGACCAGUUCACCAUGGAUGCUCUGCAGUUGCUGAGUAGAUACUCCAGGCCUGAAGGGGACCAGCCACACUCGCAGCAGUUGGUCCAGGAUCCAUCGCAGCAGUUGGUCCAGGAUCCAUUGCAGCAGUGGGUCCAAGGCCCAUUGCAGCAGUGGGGCCAGGGUCACUACACGCAGCAGCAGCAGUGGCCCAUGCAGCAGCAGCAGCCACUUCCAGCAGUAUUGCAGCAGCUUUGGAUACUGACUCAGGCACAGUUCCAUCAGCCAACAGUGACGGUGGCCCCGGGGCCACUUGUGCUACCACCACCAAGGUUGCAUAUGACCCCGCCAGAGGUAAUGACGCCCAGAAGUGAGGACAAUAUAAUCCCAUCAUUGCUGUCAGGCCAUUGUGACAUGCUCGGGACAAGGACAUCCCGACACCCUCUCCCACCACUCAGCAGGAAUAGGAGCAGGACAGUAGCUCAGAGUCAGUGUGUUUCAGUGCUCAAAUUGUUGGGCUAUAGGUUUUUUUUUUUUUGUGUGUGUGGGGGGGGGUUGUUUUUUUUUUGUUUUUACUGUUUUUUUUUAAAGAAUAUAAUAAAAUGCAUUAUUCCCUUAUA